CUGAGCCCUGAAAACGGACUUGGGUGGAAACAGACAAGACCCCUACCUACAAGGUGGCUCCAGGCUGGGGAGGCAGACAGACAUUCAAAUAACAAAAAUACCUGCCAUGGAGAGGUCCUUGCUGAAUGCCAGAACUUCAUGGGGCUCCCGUCCAGUGGACUCAUCACCGGGAUUAUCAGCCCCUUUUGCAGAUGAGAAAACAGAAGCUCGGAAAGGUGAAGAGACUUGUCUAGGUCCCCACACCUGGUGACUGGCAGAGCCUCAACUAUCGUAGAACACAGACCAGCCUGACUCUGAAGUGUGGGAUCUUUCUCAACCGCACACAGCUGCUGGGGUAUGUUUCAAGUUUCUGGGUGAAGACACCAGGCCAAGGCAGAGUCGAGAAGAUGCAUGGACACCAGAGGCAUACAGCUUUCAGAGGCUCCGGUCUGGGCAGGAUGUAAUUUGCAGGCUACGGAAGAGGAUUUGAGAAGAGUAUGCUUCUCCCGGCCGUGAGGGAACCAGGGAAGCGACAGCGUCGGUGCCUUUAGCCUUAUCUCCCAGCCUGCCGUUCUGUCAGAGGAAAUUAGAUUUGCUUGGCACAACCUGCUCCUUGUGAGGUCAUUUUGGCUGCGGUCUGCACGUUCUGCUCUCCUAGAACUCAGAGGCUGUUCGAAUUGCAGAAAGGAGCUGAGAACAAGGUGGCCUCCAUCCCAGAGUGGUCCAGAUCAACUGCUGAGGGCCAACUUCCCCACAUCUCCAGCCACAUCCCUUCUACAGGAUUCCCUCACUCCAGCAAGACUUCACCUCCUGCCCGUUGCCUUGGAACAUGCUGUUCCCUCCCUGGGAAUAGGCCUCACCACCACCCUACCCCCAGAUUGUCUGGGCUGGGCUCCAGGUGCCUCUGUUCAGGCUAAGACAGAUGUCCCUGACCCAUGUCCCCAGCCUACCCUGGAUUCACCACACCAUGUGUGAUGCCCAGGGCAUUUCAAUGGUCUGCUCUGUGUCUGGCUCUCUCCCAGCCAGUGCCCUCCAGGAGGGCAGGGACAGGGGACGACAAGGCCCUCAGUGGAUGUUUGCAAAGUGAACCCAUGGAGAUCAGCUGUUUUCUCUGAUUUUCUGUCCCUGCCCCCUUAGAUGCAAUGCCUUCAGAUAUCAAUCUAUUCAUCCAGACUCGCUUCUGACAACCAUUUUGCUCAAAAACAGAGAUCUUGGAGAGACUUACCCUGUCAAUUUGGUUUGGUUUAGAAGCAGGUUUAUGUCUGCUGGACUGCUGGUCUUUAAUAAGAGUGCCACGCAGGCCAGAGGACAAAAGUUUCCCAAGCACUUGGCCAGCUUUCUCCAGUGUAUUAGGGCUAGCGUGGGGGUUUGUCAUAAGGACCGUGGUCAUCCAUGUAGGCCUGUGACGUCAGCUUUGGAGAGUGGUUGGGGACCUAGGUUCUGGAGGUGGACUACUCGGUUUCCAGCCUCAGAGACACUGAACCUCUUUGUACCUCGGUUUUCUCAUCUGUACAUUAUCUGCCUCACUGAGGUCUGGUCAACAUUAAAGGAGCUCAUCCAAGUAAAGCCCCUGACCCAGCGUCUGGUGUGAAGUGAGUGCUCAGUGGAGGUGAGCUGGUGCCUCUUAGCACUGCAUCUGUAACUGAUGGAAACGCCAGCCCAGGCCUCCGCUGUGGCUGUAACAGAGGCUGCACAGCUGCAGUGAGACAGCGACGUCCCUUCUGCCAGAGCUGAGCUCCGGGAAUUAGACGAUGGAGUUACUCCUUAAUUCAGAUGAGUUUUUGUGAACAGGAAGACAUCAUUCAAGAAGAGAUAUGAGAUCUGUCUGUACCUGAUGUGGUGUGAGGCUUUCUCUUCCUUAAUGAGUGCCUGGUUAUGUGAAUUGGUUGCCUUGGUGGUUGGGUCACCUGAUGGCAUAAAGCAGCGGUCAGCAAACAACAGUUCUCAGGCCAAAUCCGUCCCACAGUCUGUUUCUGUAAAUAAAGCUUUACUGAAACACAGUCACGACCAUUCCCUUACACAAUGCCUAUGAGUGUUUUGCACCAUAAUGGCAGAGUUCAGUAGUUGUAACCGAGACCACAGGGCUUGCACAAUCUACAAUAGUUUCUGUCUGGUCCUUUACAGAAAAGUUUCCCUGGUGUUAGAUUGAAGUAGGAUUAAAGCUGAUUAAGCUCAACCAGAACACUGGGCACCAUCCCAUCUCUCGCUGUCCCUCAAGCCCUGGCAUCAGGCUGGUCACCAAGACCAGAUUAUUUUGCCCCACACUGUCUCAUACAUUUGGUCCCCCAUCUCUUCCACAAAAGCCACAGCCUUCGUUCAGCCCUUUCCCCACCCCUCUUGACUAUCACACACAAGGGCCACCACCAGCCCAUAAGGUGUCUGGCUGAAUUAGAUAAGGAUAUCUUCUGUGGGUUGGUGCAGCUCCACCACUCAUCACUGGGGUGCCUCUUGGCUGGAAAACCCCCCACCUAACACUAUUGAUUAUACUGGAUCAACUGUAGCUCUUACACCUCUUGGUUCCGUCUGUUGAUUAUAGUGUCUUCUGGUGUCCCUGUCCAGGCAGUCCUCCACACCAGAGCUAGAGUGAUCCUUGUAACCAACUUGACCAGUUCAUGGCUUCCCCUGGCCCCCAGGACCGAGCCUAUGAUGAACAUGACAUUCAAGGCCCUUCAUGGUUUGGUCUUGGCUAGUCUCCCUGUCCCAUGGCUCAAAACCUGCUCAGUCUACAUCACAUCUGAGCCCUGUCAUGCAAUGUGAGCCCGCCCCCCACCCCCACCACUCGCCAUGAGACCUAGACUUCCACACUUGCUAAUAUUUUGGGGAUCAGCACAGUCUUGUCCUUAGUGAAAUCCUCUGCUCUUCCUCUUACCCAUCCAGAAAAUUCCUAGUCAUCCUUCAAAUCCACUGCAAGCAUCUUCUCCCUGUUUCACCCUCUCCAGUGCUCCCAAGCAGACUUGGACCCUCCUUCUGCAGUUCGAUUCAACCAUGGUCCAUAGCCCAUCAGUGGGUCAGGUUAGCAGGGUAGUGGACCUUGAUGAAUGCUUCUUGAAAGAUGAACUAGGGUGGAAAACACAUAAGUGCAUCACUCUUUGUCAGGUGUGGGUAUAACACAGGAUGAACAGCACAAGCCAUGGAGCUGGACUGCGUAUGCUCAAAUCUAGCUCUGCAAUUGAUUAGCAAUGGCCUUGGGCAAGUGACUUCACCUUUCUGUGUCUCAAUUCCCUCAGCUGGAAAACAAUGAUAAUGAUAGCGCUUCCUUUAUGGCCUACCAUGAGCAUUAAAUCAGUAUAUUACUUAAUAUAUGUUUAUAUAUUACGUAUAAAUAUAUUUGUAUG